CCUCGCUUAACUCAGUUGGUAGAGUGCCUGACUGUAGAUCAGGAUGUCCCCGGUUCAAGUCCGGGAGCGGGGACCA
rnacentral:tRNA from 1 species